rnacentral:rRNA from 1 species
GCAGUCGAACGGCAGCGCGAGAGAGCUUGCUCUCUUGGCGGCGAGUGGCGGACGGGUGAGUAAUAUAUCGGAACGUGCCCAGUAGCGGGGGAUAACUACUCGAAAGAGUGGCUAAUACCGCAUACGCCCUACGGGGGAAAGGGGGGGAUCGCAAGACCUCUCACUAUUGGAGCGGCCGAUAUCGGAUUAGCUAGUUGGUGGGGUAAAGGCUCACCAAGGCAACGAUCCGUAGCUGGUUUGAGAGGACGACCAGCCACACUGGGACUGAGACACGGCCCAGACUCCUACGGGAGGCAGCAGUGGGGAAUUUUGGACAAUGGGGGAAACCCUGAUCCAGCCAUCCCGCGUGUAUGAUGAAGGCCUUCGGGUUGUAAAGUACUUUUGGCAGAGAAGAAAAGGUAUCUCCUAAUACGAGAUACUGCUGACGGUAUCUGCAGAAUAAGCACCGGCUAACUACGUGCCAGCAGCCGCGGUAAUACGUAGGGUGCAAGCGUUAAUCGGAAUUACUGGGCGUAAAGCGUGUGUAGGCGGUUCGGAAAGAAAGAUGUGAAAUCCCAGGGCUCAACCUUGGAACUGCAUUUUUAACUGCCGAGCUAGAGUA